UACGGAGGGUGCAAGCGUUAUCCGGAAUCACUGGGCGUAAAAGGGCGCGUAGGCGGUCUGUUAAGUCUGGCGUUAAAGCCUGGGGCUCAACCCCAGAUCAGCGUUGGAUACUGGCAGGCUAGACGGUUGGAGAGGCGAGUGGAAUUACCAGUGUAGCGGUGGAAUGCGUAGAUACUGGUAGGAACACCCAUUGCGAAGGCAGCUCGCUGGACAACACGUGACGCUGAGGCGCGAAAGUGUGGGGAGCAAACCGGAUUAGAUACCCGCGUA
rnacentral:rRNA from 1 species